rnacentral:misc_RNA from 1 species
CUUCACACAUCAUUUGCGCAGCGAAUGUCGCGUUGACGUCUCAUCAUGAUUUUUUGCCCAUUCGAUCAAAAUUAACGUGGAAACUCAUCGAAAAUGUAUAAAUUCCUUUGUGCCAACAUCACCAAGCCCCGUAACGUAAGUAACGCAUACAAAAAACUCGUGCAAGCCCAAAAAGUACACCAAGACAGUAGCAAACCUUCUUCAGCACCCGGACAAAAAAGACCCACGACAGAAGGCCAACAUGAGGAAAAUCAGGAGUUUGAAGAUGAAAAUAUGACCAACAGGCCUUCUACUAGCCCCUCGCAUCUACAAAGGUCCACAGCCCUCCCACCUGUGUCACUGCCGACCUUUAAACCGUUUCCUGAAGUCACCCCAUUAAAAAUGAAAUCUUAUCCAAAGUUUUAUACGGGCCAUUUUAUCCGGAUUGACCCACCUACCCCUAGUAUAUCCAAGAAGUACUACCACGUGUACUCGAUUAACGGGCCGUCAUUGAAACGUUCCAACGGAUCGUUAAAAACGAAGAAAUUAACGGAGCAGGAUAGGGAGAAUUAUUUGUCGGCUUUGGAGAGUCUCCAUGAUAUUGAGAGGAAUAAGUCGGGUUUUCAGUUUAAGGCUGUCCACAGACCCAGUAAAGCAGGAACUGCCGUAAACGAGGCCUAUCUAAAACAAUUUAACAAGAAAAAAUUCCAAAAGGCGGAUUCAAACGGCUCUAUCCGCUACCCCACCCACACCAUCAAACACACCCUUAAAAUAAACAGACGGUAUAAGAUACGACAAGAAUCAGCAGAACGGCGCAUCAAAGAGCUGGAAGAAAAGCACAGAAAGAAGUACCACAUGAAAAUGUUUAUGCCCCCGCCGCCCACCAAAAAGAUCACUUACCCCACCUUGGUGGAGCACAUAAAAAAAGGCAAACUAAAAAUCCCCAUGCCAGAGAAAAAAUAUCUGGAAAAAGGCCCUGUAGAGGCCUCAGAAGCUAACCAAGAACCCCAUGAGGAUGUGACUCUGGAGCAGCCCCAGGAUGCACUGGAACAUGACUUUGACUCUCUGGUAAGAAGCCACCCCACCAUCGAAAACGCCAGCAAGGAAGUGAAAAUGAAGCUGAAAACCAAGUUCAUUCAGCUGCUAAUAAAAACCGCCAGAAGCCCCAGGUUUAGAUCAGAGCGACAACUCGCUGCAAUCGAGUCAAAGCAAGAAGAAUCCGCAGCCCUGGUGCCAGUCUCUCAAGAAACUUCUCCUGAGAAAGCAGUCAUAAUUCCAGAAGAUGCUGAAGAGUUAAUAGUCUCCCACCCGAAGAAGUGGACAAAACCUCCAGUUUCCCUGGAAGAUAGUUACCACGUGAUCUACCGCUACCCCAGGCGAGUCUACGUGGAUGAGCCUUCCAAAUAUGAGGUGGACAAGGUGUGCGUCAAAGAAUCCGGAGUAAGAAUAAGUUCAGAUCCCACACCAGCAGAAGAACAACGCCUUCCACCAACCCUUUACACCACAAAUCACUUAUCCACCCCUGAAGCAGUAAAAUAUAUCGAAAAUAAAAACGCGGAAGCCAUCAAGCAACUAAACUGGGGCAAAGAGGGUCACAACCAAGCAAAGAUCGAACAACUUAAAGAAGAACGUCUGCUACUCCUAAAAGAACUGGACAAGUUGAGUGUGAAAUUCAGCUCCACAGCAGAAGAAAAAGAGGACAAACCUCCUUCCGAAUGCGAAUGGAGGGAGGGAAACAAGGAGUUUACCAAAGAACAAGCUGAGAAACUAAGAAGAAUAUUACUUGGGCAGUUCCAUGUCGUGCAACCGUCUGUGGAGCCAGAGAACAAUCCCAAGUGGCCCUGGAAUAAAAAUAAAACUAAUCCAGAAUCGACUGAGGCAAGCAAAGAAACUGAAGCAGCACCAUCUUGUAUAGAACAAGAAGAAAAUGUGCAAGAGCAAGAAGCUGCAGCAGGAGAAGUUGAUGCUGAAGAAGCUUCACACGACGAAAAAAAAGAUGACGUAAUGCUUUGCCAAGAAGGGUUAGAAGAAAAGUCGAAAGUGGACGAGCUGAACGAGAUAGCUAAAGAGAGAGAGAAGGUUUCCAGAAAGGAAAAACUAAGACAAGAACAGCAAAGGAAACGUAAAGAGAUUCGGGAGCUGAACGAUGAAAAGUAUACUAGAAAGACUUAUAUACCACCCAGGGUGGAUAAGAUUGAUGAUAUGUUGGACGAGAAGGUUGAAAUCGGAGAAAAAGUCAAAGAACAAAUUGAAAAGCUGAUUCCAGGCAGGCAAGUUAAUCAACCGUCCUUACCAGAAAGUACUAUACUUGCUGCAGCUCCUGCUGCUAAAGAAGAACCGACGACCAUCGAAGAAAAAACAAAAAUCGAGGAGCUUCAAGAAAUGGCUGAAGAUUUGGCGAAAAAAUCCGCGGGACAGGAGCAAAGUAGUGGUUAUAACCAACCUGAAACAAAGAGAAUCAUAAAGAAGUUCUUUAAGAAUCGAGAGAACGAGAAGAAGAUUGAGCAGGACCAGAAAGUGAAGAAUGACGUGAAAGAGUUUUUCCAGAAGAAGCGACAGCAGUGGGGACUUGGUGCGAAGCAAGUUUCGCAGGAACAGGAAGAAGAACGUGAUGAAUUUCAAGGCCGGUCAGAAGUAUCUGAACCGGCUCAGGUUUUAUCAAAACCCCAAGAAUUACCAAUAGUUUUUGAACAGAGUACACCGCCUGAAAAGGAUACAAAAGAUAAAAAGGAGGAAGAUAAGAAGGAGGAAGAAACUCCCAAAGACGAUUCGGAAAAACGAGCAGAAGACGAACGUCAUAGGCUGCAAAAGGACAAAACAACGCAUGACCGUCCUUUAUAUCCUACGGGACCAAUGUGUGAGAAAGAAAAAGACAACAUAGACAAAAACCUGCUGACCUCAGCGUUAGAAGAAAAAUCCCUCGUCGUCUCCGAACAGACGGUCCAAGAAAAUUUCCCACAAAUUAAAGGGAUCUAUUAUGCCACCGAGGAGAAAAGUGUGCCAGAAGAGUUUGUUGAAAAAUACGUGGAUCCUAACGCGGUAAGUACGGACAUAAUGGCCAAAGAGAAGAUGGUGAUCAACAAUAUCGAGGAAACCAAAGUAAAUGAACAGCUGGAUGCAGCAGUUUUACGACCUGGAGACGAAAUCCUCAUCUACGAAAAUAAUGGGGCGCAAACCAAAACCGACGUGGUAAAAGUCGAUACCAGUCCGGAUAAACAGGCGGAAUGCACCCAGCUGACGAUGAACAUUCUGGAUAAGGCGCUGACUCUUAGGAACGAGCUGGCCCUCUCUGAAUCCCGAGUUUUACUGGACACCAAGAAGCAAAUCGAUGAGAUGAUGGAGAAGAUCAAGAACCUCGAGGAAAUGCUGAAGAAACAGGAAGCGAGCUGGCGGCCCGAUGAGAUAAUGUCUGAGAAUAAGAUUAGGGUGCCCACGCCCCAACCCCCUCCAGACAAGGAUAAAGCUAAGGACAGCAAAAAGGAUAAGUCGAGGGACAAGAAUGCUUUGAUUUUACCCCCCAAGGUGCAAGGGUCCAAACCUGAAAAGUCUGCUAAAGAUCUCGAGGAGUUUAAUUGUAAAGAAAGAGAGCAGGUUGGGGAGCUAACUAAACCACCAGAAACUGAUCCAGAUCCAAUUAGGCUAAGCACCUCUCCCCCAAAAACACUGGAAACCAAAAUGACAUUUCGUCCCAGGCCAAAGCUGACUUUCCAAGACAUCAUAAACCCCCAGAAGCCCACCCUUAAAAGUACCACCCCAAAAAACGAUAACCAGAAUACUUUACUCAGUAAAGCAGUGAAUAGCAGACUGUCCAAAACCCUUCACAGCUCGGUGGUGAACUUGGACAAAAAAAAGGACUCUGAGGAGUGGAAAUGGUCCAGGAGCAUGAGCAAACUGGAUAAGGUCAAUGCCAUGCUCCAAAACUCCACAGCAUUAUUAGAGAAGGCGAAGGUUGGGCACGAACUUUCAAAUGUUAUAGCAAUUGAAGAAAUAAAGAAAAACCAGGUGGAGUUUAACAAGGAUAAUGCAACUGAGAAGGAAAAUUCUAUCGAUAUAUCAAAGCUUUUACACGGUAAAGCUGAAAAGGAAUCUAAAGUAAUUGACCCUAAACGCUUAUUUCACAAAGUUAAGCAAGCUGCUGAAAAAAAACUUACACCACAACUGGAGAAACAAUUUAACGCUAAAGCUCGCCAAUAUUUAAUGAAUCAAGCCAAACUGGAUGAUUUAGCUGCACCUAAGAUCGAUGUUCUGGAAAAAUCCACUUCAGAGGAGAAGGUUGGGAUAAUUACAAAAAUACCGAAACUACUUGACUCCAAAAGUCUAUUUCUUAAUGUAAAACAUGCUGCCGAAAAAAAAGUGAAAACAGAGGAGCAAUUAAACGUUAAGGCAGGCCAGUAUUUCACCAAUCAAUCCAAAUUGGAUGGUUUAGAUGGGGCAGGGGUUGAUGUAUUGGCAGAACCCGCGAUAGAAAAGGGGAUUCAGGAAGACUUUGCUCUAUCCAAAGGCUGUUUGAGCAAACCCACCCUGGAAGAGAAAGACGUAGGGGCAAAAGUGCAAAAGUACUUUAAAGACAAAGUAUACAAGAAGUCUGAUGUGGGCGAAGGCGUCAAUAACUUAGCAGCUUCUGAUCAAGAAAAUUCUUCAAUCUUAAAAAAUGCCGCGGAAACUUUGAAGGAGAUUUCUCAGUCCCAGCAAGCAAAAUCUCUCGAUGGUACUCAGGCAGCAAAACUAAAACGUACCGAAAAAAGCGACUUGGUUGAAUUGGAAUUUAAGCCAGAUCCCUUAGAAAAACAUACACAACACACUGAAGAGGAAUUAUUGGCAGACGAAGAGCUUCCUGUAGACCCUUUGAGCAAACCAGCUUUGGAACAGGAAGACGUUGACUUAAAAGUGCGCCACUAUUUCCAGAACAAGUUUGGAAAACUAGAGGCGACAGUUGGAUCUAAAUCAAAUCAAAAUCCUCCUGCUGUUGAAAAUCCUAUAAUAAAUGAAUCUCUCACUUCCGGAAGCAAACCUAAAGAAAAACAAGUUUCAAACACUUUAAAGAGUGAGGCAGAUGCCAAGUUGGUGGAAUUAGACUUUAAACCAGAUACUUUAGAGAAACUUGCUAAAGAGGAGCCAUUGACGGAAGACUAUGUACCUACUGUGGACCCUUUGAGUAAACCAGCUCUGGCACAAGAGGACGAUGAUGCAAAAAUCCGGAAAUAUUUUGAAAAUAAAUUGGCAAAGGAAAAACCAACUGGCAAGAAACUGAUUUUUUCGAAAAAUUUUAGCACGGAACAAGGCCCUGACAGUGGGAAGACUUUAAAAGCUAAAAGUGUGGGCGCAAGACCCAAAGUUUUUAUGAAACCGUUAAAGAACGUUAAAAUGUCUUGCUCACCCUCUACUGGUUUAAGGAGUGUCAGUUGUCCAGGAAAAGCCCAGUCGCAAGCAAUACAGGAAACAAAAACCCAAUUUUCCAGUUGGUCCUCCAAAUCCGGCCACCAAAUCACCAGGAACAUGGGCAAAAUCUUCUCUCUGGAAGAAGUAAAAAAGACACAUGCAAGACGUCCUGCCUCACAUACUUCACAAAACGCUGAUAAACCUCCCUAUAAGCCACAAAAACCUGUAAAAAACUAUUUAUCAAAAGAACCUUCUCCAAACCAUUUAAAUCAAGAAAAAGACCGCCAAAUGAAGCUUAUCACUCAAGAUCAUGAGGUAGAAGAAGACAGAGAAGUUGUGGCGAUUACUGCAGAAGAAAAACCAGUAGUCUUCUGGCCCAACAAGAAUCAAGAGGCAGAGGUUUUGCAAAAGAAGGAACCGAGGAAAAUUUCGGAGUUAGCCGAGGAGUUCCAGGAAACCCUUAAGGCGAUUCCCAAGGUGUACUACCCGAGUAAAGACAAAAACCUGGAUAAAUCGAGCAAGAACGGCGCCAUAAUCAAGAUGUCUCCUAAGAAAGUAAUUCUUAAACCGAAAACCAGAAAAGUAUUGGAAAUGUCUUCUUGUAAAGCCGAUGAGAAUUUACAACAAAACGAGUCUUUGGGGAUCAUGAGGGUUACUUUACCCUUGAAGCGAGAACAACGGGAGGAAGGCCGGUUGUCUCUAGCAGCUGAUGGGAGAAGACCGAAAGACAAAUACGCCAACGACAGUAGACUGUUUAAAGGAAGUGGUGUGUCUGAUGUUGGUCUAAAAAUUGAAAAAAAUAAGAAUGUGGCCAAGGCUGGUAUAUCCACCACCUCAGUCCUAUGUGACAACAAAGACCUGGAGGAUGAUUUUUCCGGACUCAACCAGAAGAAGAACAACAAAAAAUCGCCCAAAGAAAAGACCGCCAUCUUCAGGAUAAUGAAAAACGACGAGAUUUUUAUAGUUAAAAACGCGGAGGAAGAUGAAAACCCGGGGGAAAAACCGAAAAAAGCGAGCGGUCUCUCGGACCAGAAAAAAACGGUGGAUCAUUUGGUGGAGCAGCUAAUCACCCUGAAAGAUGACCAUGUUGCCAAAGUUAACUUGACACCCAAAAGAGAGCUCAGCACCAUUUUUGUAGCUACAACCGGGUCAAACCAUAAAGGCUACAUGGGAGAUUUGAUUUUUAAGAACCAAAGACUAGUUGAUACCAGUGAGAAAAUUAAGGAGGUGGUGCUAGAAACGCUUCCUCCAAUAACCAAACCAAAGAUCCACCAGACAUUGGACCAUACGUUGAAGGUAACCACAAGCAAAAUCAAACCUAAGGAGAAGCUGAUGGCCAAGGUGCAAGAAGUGAUGGAGAAGCCAGUGAAACCAGAAGGUACGGUGUCCCAUCGGUACAAAUCCGAACUAAAACUAUCGAAUUGUCACGACGAUCAUUUUUCGUGGGCUUAUCUUGGUAGCGUAACGUUUCCGAAAGUUUGUUUAAAAGCAAAAAUCGAGACUAUUUACGAGAAAGGCGCGUCCAUAAAGGAGCCGCGCAAGCAAAAAUUGCGGAAGUUCAAUCGGUGGCUGGUUGAGAAUGAAGUUGAGGAACAACGGGAGCCCCUGUUUAACGAUCAGUUUCAAGGAAUCAAGACUGGGUUCUUUGAGCGUGAUCGUGUGUUAUUUCCAGAUGGCCUCCUCAAAUCACAACCACCCCCGCCCCCAUCACCAAUGAUCAAAUCAGAAAUUAUCCUGAAGAAACACACCCGGAAACCGAAACCCGAAAAACCAUCAGAACAAACCAUCCUGAAGAGCAGAAGUGAAUCAGUGGUGAAAACCCCCGUGCCCCAAUCGGCCAAGACCGUAAGAGUUAAGGAGCAACUUUUCCCCAGUGCCCUCACCAUAAAAGUAGAAAAAAACUACUCGGAAUUGCUUAAGAAAAUUGAGAAGAACCUGAGGGAUAAACGGAAGAAAUUGGAAGUCCAAGUAAAUCCACAGAUGGUCCAGCCAAAAGUGCUUGAAGAAACUCCGGCAGAAACAGCCCCUGUGGAUGAUAGCAUGAAAAUCAACAAAUCACAUACGGAACUGUUUGAGAGAAUUGAGAAAAGGUUGCAGGAAAAACGCAGCAUUAAAGCGACAGAAGUGAAACAGAUGAAACCGGAAAAACAACCACUUUUAGCCAACUCGGGCGGCCCAAAAAUGGAGAAAACUUAUACAGAGAUGCUUAAAAAAAUGGAGAAAAGCAUGCACGAUGAAAAAAUAAUUAACAAAUCCGCCAUAAAAUCCCAACAAGCGAAAACACAAUCGAUGUAUACUUUAAGCGUCCCUAAACUAGUGGCACAAAGUCCCAAACCUUUCAGAACAAAAAGCGCAGCCCCUACAAAUAUCCCCAAAGAGAAUCUACAAAUCGAAGUCAAACCCUCAAAUACGAAGAAAAAGGAGGUCAUAAAGCUCUGGCAGAAGGAGAAAGAGAUCGUAUCCAAAGAGAACCUCCAAGAGGAAAUCGAAUGUUGGGCGGGUAAAAAUAACUUGAGGUUUUGCACCAAAAAGUCAACCAAAAUCGGACAAAAAUUGAAAUCGGAAUUCGUGGACGCCAUGAAGAAACACAAGACAGCUGAAGCUUCCAGUGAUGACAAGAAAUAUCCUUUAGACAAAGAGGUGGAUUAUAUGUCAGUGGAUAAAAGUGUUAGGAGGAUAAUCCAGAAAGAGGAGCAAGGGGCGCGUGUCGAGAAACCUGAAGUUACUUUAUUGGAAACCGAGCAGGUGGAUUACAAGGGUGAGCGAUUUAAAAAACAAUUGUCGGAGAAUAUAAGGCAGCGUCUAAAUAGGAGUAAACAAAAAGAAAAUACCAUUAAGAAAAGGAAGAAUACCAAGAAGGACACUAUCAAAGAAAUGAAUGAGACAGCGAAGCACAUAAUAAAAUCGCAGAACGAGAGGCAAUGGCAAGAGCUGUAUAACGGUGGUAAGAAAGGACAGAACGAUGCCAAACUGUCACAACCGAGCGUUGGACCGUGGACGAGAAACACUAAACCAGAAUCCGACAAAGACAAAAAGCACUUUCAUUGCAGCACCAAAGCCUCCAGUUCCUCUAAAGACUCCAAACCGCCAAGUAUGGAUAGGUUAAUGUCAAAGGACGAUUUUUUAAAAUUAAAACAAACAAAGGGAAAACCCGCGAACAAUUUAAAAAAAUCUUAUCUUGCAGAUGAACGUUUGCCAUCCGGAUCUGAAAUAGGGGUCACCAUGUCCUCCCAUCAACAUUGCCAAAUAAUCACUGCGAGUAAAUUAAACCAACCAACUCUUGAAUUCCAACCCAAAUAUACCGAAAUGGAAAUUUAUAAAUAUGAGCUUGAAGCUAAUAAAGACCUACCUACGAUAACAGGCAAGAACGCUCUUGACACCAAUCCAUUGAAAAUCGACUCGAAACAAAAGGAAAUGCUGGAAAAAGUGACAGAUCAAGCGAAAAUUGGGGAUUUAGUGGAGAAUUACUUUAAGCGGAGCCCCAGAAAACCAACGGCAACAGAUCCCAAUAUGGCUUUACACAAACGUAUCGACCAAGAAGUGAAAAAAGAGGCUUCCAGGCCCGACAUCCCACCGCCGAAAAUUGAUCCGGAGGUGCUCAACUUUAAAAUAACCAAAAUGGUGAAAAUGAUGGCGGAAGAUGUGAAAUUUAACGAAGUUAAAGUAACCGUCGGUAAGGGGCGUGAGACGACAACGGUGAAGACCGUGGCACCCGAAAUGGUCGUUAAAAAGCCAAAUGUUGUAGUGAACCCCGUGGAGGAGUUUGUAAAAGAAGCUCCAAAAACUGUAAAUGUCUUGGAUUUAACUAAGGUGGACGAAGGUGCUACUGUUAAAAGUAAUUCAGGGUCCAAAAAUGAAGUUUUAUCAAAAAAAAGUAACUUGGAGCCUAAAGAGGUGCUGCAGUCUAGUCCAGUGGAUGCCAAUGACCCAAAAGCAUCCAAUACCAUAGUCGCUAAACCUGUGAGAUCAGUUUCAAUGAAGAAUGCCAAGAAUGACGAACUGACAAAGUCGCCCGAACCCGAGCAGUCUAGAAGUGAAAAGUUUGCAGAGCGCUUAAAAUCGAUCAACAUGAUGAUGAAAAACUUCAAAGUCAACUCCACCAAGGACCCACACGCCAACAAGAAAACAUCAGAAAAAGAUGAAGAAGCGCGGAAGACUAACGGAGCAAAUUUUCUUUUAAAGCCGCCAUCCCUACCACAUCGGGUAGUAACAAGAAAGAAAAAUAAGAAGCCAAAUAUCUCCUCUAAAAUCCCAAUUCGUCAUCAGUCAACAUGCAAAAAGUUCAUGAAAAACUAUAAAUUCGUCGUCACGGAAGUAAAUCCCCAUCAGACAACGCUGGACAGAAAAGUGGGUCAAGACUUUUCGGUGGUUCCCAAACACGUGAUGGAAACCGAAGAGCGCAUGCGUAAGGCCAGAAAACGGAUGUGCGUCAAAGACCUGCGUGCACCUGAUCCCUUGGACAAGUAUAAACACUUGAAGAUCACUUAUAUGAGUGUGAAGAGGAAGCAGGAUGACGGGGAAAAGGAGCUUUUUAUGCCCAGUAUCGAAAAAAUGGACGAUAAGGAGAUUCAAGACCAGAAAAAGAGAAAGAUUUUAGACUACAGGUUUAAUUGUUCGCCGUCUAUAAGGGUUGUUUGAUUAAUAGUGGCGAGUAAUUCACUAUCAUUUUGUAAUGGCUCGGAAUAAACAAUGUGCUUGAGCCGGCCCCAUAAAUAGGAAUCAGAAAUGGUUAAAUCAAGUGACCUUGGCGGUCACUCAAUUGGGCCGCGUUUUCCAUUUCGGAAAAGUUCUAUUCAACCAUUCUGCUACUCGAAUAGUGGAGUGCGCUGGACAGCCGUCGUGUUGAAAAUAAAGAGUUAUUCUUUGAUCAACUGGUAAAGGUUCGAGAGAUCCUUGAGGAGAUGGUCCAUUAAUACCUAAAUGAUUUAAUCUACUGAAGAAACUCAAUGAAGAAUUCCAAAAGCAAAUGAUGGCCGAGCAACAACCCGAACAUCCCCGGAUGUCCCAAUUCAGGAAAACCCCGUAUGUGUUUGACAUCGCCAAAUUGAAAAACGUCAAGCCGAUCGGUCAGGGUAAAUGUCUGGAUGAAAAUUCGAAUAUGAACAAUGCGACGAAACAACUUGGAGAAGCCAUCGGCAAAUUGCCCAAGUCCG